UCGGGGUAGGUUAUCUGCUUCGGGCGCGCCUUCUAACUUUACUCCGGACGAUUUCGAGCACCCCCACCACUUCCGGUGGUAGAAUCUGGGAACGGAGGCCGCUUCCGGAGAACGGGAGAAUGACGUGAUUCGUGGCUGAUCGGUUGUCGAUACGGAAACUGGAACACAGAAACUUCUCCGGCACUCACCAGAAAGGACUGUUUCAAUCAUUGUCUAGAAACAGGGAGUCGAUGGGCCGGAUGGAGGGAGCCCGAGGAAUGUCGAU